AUUGAACGCUGGCGGCAGGCCUAACACAUGCAAGUCGAACGAGUGGCGGACGGGUGAGUAAUGUCUGGGAAACUGCCUGAUGGAGGGGGAUAACUACUGGAAACGGUAGCUAAUACCGCAUACCCUCGGAUGUGCCCAGAUGGGAUUAGCUUGUAGGUGAGGUAACGGCUCACCUAGGCGACGAUCCCUAGCUGGUCUGAGAGGAUGACCAGCCACACUGGAACGGAGACACGGUACAGACUCCUACGGGAGGCAGCAGUGGGGAAUAUUGCACAAUGGGCGCAAGACUGAUACAGCCAUGCCGCGUGUAUGAAGAAGGCCUUCGGGUUGUAAAGUACUUUCAGCGGGGAGGCGUUACACGCAGAAGAAGCACCGGCUAACUCCGUGCCAGCCGCCGCGGUAAUAC
rnacentral:rRNA from 1 species